GGGCCCGCACAAGCGGUGGAGUAUGUGGUUUAAUUCGAUGCAACGCGAAGAACCUUACCAGGGUUUGACAUCCUGCGAAUCUCUUGGAAACAGGAGAGUGCCUUCGGGAACGCAGUGACAGGUGGUGCAUGGCUGUCGUCAGCUCGUGUCGUGAGAUGUUGGGUUAAGUCCCGCAACGAGCGCAACCCACGUCUUUAGUUGCCAGCAUUAGUUGGGCACUCUAGAGAGACUGCCGGUGAUAAACCGGAGAAGGUGGGACGACGUCAAGUCCUCAUGGCCCUUACGGGAUGGGCUACACACGUGCUACAAUGGCAGUGACAAUGGGUUAACCCCCCAAAACUGUCUCAGUUCGGAUUGGAGUCUGCAAC
rnacentral:rRNA from 1 species